UACGUAGGGUGCAAGCGUUGUCCGGAAUUAUUGGGCGUAAAGAGCUCGUAGGCGGUUUGUCGCGUCUGCUGUGAAAACUCGGGGCUUAACCCCGGGCCUGCAGUGGGUACGGGCAGACUGGAGUGCGGUAGGGGAGACUGGAAUUCCUGGUGUAGCGGUGAAAUGCGCAGAUAUCAGGAGGAACACCGGUGGCGAAGGCGGGUCUCUGGGCAGUAACUGACGCUGAGGAGCGAAAGCGUGGGGAGCGAACAGG
rnacentral:rRNA from 1 species